CUACGGGGCGCUCCAGUGGGGAAUCUUAGACAAUGGGGGAAACCCUGAUCUAGCCAUGCCGCGUGAGUGAUGAAGGCCUUAGGGUCGUAAAGCUCUUUCGCCAGGGAUGAUAAUGACAGUACCUGGUAAAGAAACCCCGGCUAACUCCGUGCCAGCAGCCGCGGUAAUACGGAGGGGGUUAGCGUUGUUCGGAAUUACUGGGCGUAAAGCGCGCGUAGGCGGAUUAGAAAGUUGGGGGUGAAAUCCCGGGGCUCAACCCCGGAACUGCCUCCAAAACUACUAGUCUAGAGUUCGAGAGAGGUGAGUGGAAUUCCGAGUGUAGAGGUGAAAUUCGUAGAUAUUCGGAGGAACACCAGUGGCGAAGGCGGCUCACUGGCUCGAUACUGACGCUGAGGUGCGAAAGUGUGGGGAGCAAACAGGAUUAGAUACCCGAGUAGUC
rnacentral:rRNA from 1 species